GAUAGGACACUUUCAGAGAUGGAUUGGUGCCUUCGGGAACUCUGAGACAGGUGCUGCAUGGCUGUCGUCAGCUCGUGUUGUGAAAUGUUGGGUUAAGUCCCGCAACGAGCGCAACCCUUAUCCUUGUUUGCCAGCGAGUAAUGUCGGGAACUCCAGGGAGACUGCCGGUGAUAAACCGGAGGAAGGUGGGGACGACGUCAAGUCAUCAUGGCCCUUACGAGUAGGGCUACACACGUGCUACAAUGGCGCAUACAGAGGGCAGCCAACUUGCGAAAGUGAGCGAAUCCCAAAAAGUGCGUCGUAGUCCGGAUUGGAGUCUGCAACUCGACUCCAUGAAGUCGGAAUCGCUAGUAAUCGUGGAUCAAAAUGCCACGGUGAAUACGUUCCCGGGUCUUGUACACACCGA
rnacentral:rRNA from 1 species